rnacentral:rRNA from 1 species
UGCCAGACUCCUACGGGAGGCAGCAGUGGGGAAUAUUGCACAAUGGGCGAAAGCCUGAUGCAGCAACGCCGCGUGAGUGAUGAAGGCCUUCGGGUCGUAAAACUCUGUCCUCAAGGAAGAUAAUGACGGUACUUGAGGAGGAAGCCCCGGCUAACUACGUGCCAGCAGCCGCGGUAAUACGUAGGGGGCUAGCGUUAUCCGGAUUUACUGGGCGUAAAGGGUGCGUAGGCGGUCUUUCAAGUCAGGAGUGAAAGGCUACGGCUCAACCGUAGUAAGCUCUUGAAACUGGGAGACUUGAGUGCAGGAGAGGAGAGUGGAAUUCCUAGUGUAGCGGUGAAAUGCGUAGAUAUGUGGAAGAACACCGAUGGCGAAGGCAGCCUCCUGGGACGCAACUGACGCUCAUACACGAAAGCGUGGGGAGCAAACAGGAUUAGAUACCCCGGUAUC